rnacentral:rRNA from 1 species
CCUACGGGAGGCAGCAGUGAGGAAUAUUGGUCAAUGGACGAGAGUCUGAACCAGCCAAGUAGCGUGAAGGAUGACUGCCCUAUGGGUUGUAAACCUCUUUUAUAUGGGAAUAAAAUGUUCCACGUGUGGGUUUUUGUAUGUACCAUAUGUAUAAGGAUCGGCUAACUCCGUGCCAGCAGCCGCGGUAAUACGGAGGAUCCGAGCGUUAUCCGGAUUUAUUGGGUUUAAAGGGAGCGUAGGUGGGUUGUUAAGUCAGUUGUGAAAGUUUGCGGCUCAACCGUAGAAUUGCAGUUGAAACUGGCAGUCUUGAGUGCAGUAGAGGUGGGCGGAAUUCGUGGUGUAGCGGUGAAAUGCUUAGAUAUCACGAAGAACUCCGAUUGCGAAGGCAGCUCACUGGACUGCAACUGACGCUGAGGCUCGAAAGUGUGGGUAUCAAACAGGAUUAGAUACCCGGGUAGUC